UUUUAUGGCGGCUGUACGUGUGGGCGCCUUCGGGUGCGCCGGGUAUAUGGGGUUCUGGGCCCGGUCUGCUAACCCGCGUACAGUCGCCACCCUU
rnacentral:antisense_RNA from 1 species